rnacentral:rRNA from 1 species
UACGUAGGGGGCAAGCGUUGUCCGGAUUUAUUGGGCGUAAAGAGCGUGUAGGCGGCCAGACAGGUCAGCUGUGAAAACUCGAGGCUCAACCUCGAGACGUCGGUUGAAACCGUCUGGCUAGAGUCCGGAAGAGGAGAGUGGAAUCCCCGGUGUAGCGGUGAAAUGCGCAGAUAUCGGGAAGAACACCCGUGGCGAAGGCGGUUGCCUGGAGCUUUGCUGACGCUGAUGCGCGAAAGCGUGGGGAGCGAUCCGG